rnacentral:rRNA from 1 species
GUGGGGAAUCUUGCGCAAUGGGCGAAAGCCUGACGCAGCCAUGCCGCGUGAAUGAUGAAGGUCUUAGGAUUGUAAAAUUCUUUCACCGGGGACGAUAAUGACGGUACCCGGAGAAGAAGCUCCGGCUAACUUCGUGCCAGCAGCCGCGGUAAUACGAAGGGGGCUAGCGUUGCUCGGAAUUACUGGGCGUAAAGGGCGCGUAGGCGGACAGCUUAGUCAGAGGUGAAAGCCCAGGGCUCAACCUUGGAAUUGCCUUUGAUACUGGCUGUCUUGAGUUUGGGAGAGGUGAGUGGAACUCCGAGUGUAGAGGUGAAAUUCGUAGAUAUUCGGAGGAACACCAGUGGCGAAGGCGGCUCACUGGCUCGAUACUGACGCUGAGGUGCGAAAGCGUGGGGAGCAAACAGGAUUAGAUACCCCGGUAGUCC